AGGAAGCCGGAGAAGAGAACCUGUUUAUCUUCGGCAUGAGGAUAGAUGAUGUGGCUGCUCUGGACAAGAAAGGGUGAGAGAGCAGCUCCUCUUUGUUGGGCAGGUGAUGCCCAGGAGGGUGUGUGAUCUCAGAGGGCUUCCAUAUCCCACUGAGGCUGGGUCACAUGUGAUGAGGCAGCAGAACAUCUCCCCUGAGGAGUCAGGAGAGCCUCCUGGGCCACAGAUAAGUCUAAAAUCCAGAAGAUAAAAAUAAAGGAAGCUUAGGCACAGGUACGUGAAGAAGUCUCUGUUUGUUACCAGCCAUUGCAGCCCCAGUGAGCUAUUUGGUUCUCUAUAUCUGUGAUUUUUAAAUUUUAAUUUUUUUUCUUUUUAGUUAUACAUGACAGUAGAAUGUAUUUUGACAUGCAUGCAUGAGUACAACUUCCCAUUCUUGUGGUUGUAGAUGAUGUGAAGUUACACUGGUCGUGUAUUCACAUAUAAACAUAGAAAAGUUAUGUCAUAUGAUUCAUUCUACUGUCUUUCCCAUUCCCAUUCCCCCUCCCUUCCUCUAGCAUCCCCUUGUCUAAUCCAGUGAACCUCCACUGCCCCCCAUCCCUCCCACCUCUAUUGUGAAUCAGCAUCUUCAUAUCAGAGGGAACAUUGGCCUUUGGUUUCAGGGAUUUGGCUUGUUUUGCUUAGCAUGAUAGUCUCCAGUUCCAUCUAUUUGCCUGCAAAUGCCAUAAUUUCAUUCAUCUUCAUGGCUGAGUAAUAUUCUGUUGUGUAUAUGUACCAUGUUUUCUUUAUUCAUUCAUCUGUUGAAGGUUAGCUGGUUUGGUUACAGAGCUUAGCUAUUGUGUAUUAAUGUGCUGUAGUUAGUGACGUUGUUUUCUCAUUUUAGUGUGUUGAUUUUAAGUUCUUUGAGUAAACAGUCAUGGUUUAAGUCUAUUUAUAUAUCAUAGAGAUUAGUGCUAUAUCUGAUGUGCGUGUGGUAAAAAUUUGCCCCCAAAAUGUAGGUUCUCUGUUCACCUCUUGAUACUUGUAUUAUUCUUUUUUUUAAGAGAGAGUGUGUGUGAGAGAGAGAGAGAGAAAGAAAGAGUUUUUUAAUAUUUAUUUUUUUAGUUUUUGGCGAACACAACAUCUUUGUUUGUAUGUGGUGCUGAGGAUCGAACCCGGGCCGCACGCAUGCCAGGCGUGCGCGCUACCGCUUGAGCCACAUCCCCAGCCCUGUUACUUGUAUUCUUGGUAAAUGCCAUCCUAACUGGAGUGAGAUGGAAUCUCAGUGUAAUUUUAAUUUGCAUUGUGAUUUUUAACAUUAACCAAAAGAUGAACCGUAUCUAGUUGUAAUUUUUUAACUAAAAUUUAAAUCACUAUCUAGUACUUCCCUAAGAUCUCAAAGAGAUGAACCAAAACAUGGUAGAGGAUAGGAAUAUACAGAAGUACUCAGGAAUAUUUGUUGUCACUUACUACCUAACUGUGUUUUUCAACCUGAGUUCAAGCAAGAAAUGAAGAGCAAUGUCCAAAGGACCUCUAGGGGUCACAAAAUUUGGAGGGUAUUGAAUAUACUUCCUGACUUAGAAGUAAAUUUCACUCAGUAGCAACAAAUUUGAAGAAUCUGUGGAUCCAAAAAGCAACUGGUUCCUGUAAGACAAGGCUUGUUUUGAGUCAUAAAGUCUGCUUUGAAAUGAACCUUGCCACAUUCUAUCAGAUAAGACUACUGCUGUGUGCCUAGAGUUUUCAUUAUCUACUGUUCUUAGUGUCUUUGGUUACAGGAUUGAAUCAAAUUUAGAAGGGAAAAAACCUUCAGGAUCUAGAAAAGAAAUUAUUUGUACUCAUGUUGAAAUCUAUGAUGACUUCUGUAAAUGCUAGUAUAUCUGAAUGCAUUUUUAAUUAAAACUUUAUAUGGAAUGCAUUAAUCAGAAUGGUGGAUUUCAAAUAUGCCACAAUUAGUGCAUUUUUAUAGCUACUGCAGUGUCUACUGUGUGGUUAACCGCACACACUAACAGUCUUUUUGUCAUCACCACCCAUUCCUCCCCCACAGAUACGAGGCAAAAGAAUACUACGAGGCACUUCCAGAGCUUCAGCUGGCCAUCGAUCAAAUUGAUAAUGGGUUCUUUUCUCCUAACCAACCCGAC
rnacentral:lncRNA from 1 species